GCUGGGUGCAGUGGCGUACACCUGUAAUCUCAGCAGCUCAGAAGACUGAGGCAGGAAGAUCUUGAAUUCAAAGCCAGCCUCAG
rnacentral:sRNA from 1 species